GUUUGUUAAGUCUGAUGUGAAAGCCCUGGGCUCAACCUGGGAAUGGCAUUGGAAACUGGCUUACUAGAGUGCGGUAGAGGGUAGCGGAAUUCCCGGUGUAGCAGUGAAAUGCGUAGAUAUCGGGAGGAACAUCCGUGGCGAAGGCGGCUACCUGGACCAGCACUGACACU
rnacentral:rRNA from 1 species